rnacentral:rRNA from 1 species
AGAGUUUGAUCAUGGCUCAGAGUGAACGCUGGCGGCGUGCUUAACACAUGCAAGUCGAGCGAGAUUUGACAGCACACCGUCAGGUCUAGCGGCAGACGGGUGAGUAAUACUUGGGCAAUCUACCCUUAAGUGGGGGACAACCUGCCGAAAGGCGGGCUAAUACCCCAUAAGACCACAGGAAUGCAUAUUCCAGGGGUCAAAGCUCCGCAAGGGGCGCUAAAGGAGGAGCCCGAGUCCUAUCAUGGUAGUUGGCGGGGUAAUGGCCCACCAAGCCGUUGACGGGUAGCCGGCCUGAAAGGGCAACCGGCCACACUGGCACUGAGACACGGGCCAGACUCCUACGGGAGGCAGCAGUGGGGAAUUUUGGACAAUGGGGGCAACCCUGAUCCAGCGACGCCGCGUGAAGGAUGAAGGUCUUCGGAUUGUAAACUUCUUUUGAAGGGGAUGAAUGCCCUGGUGAAUAGCCAGGGGUGACAGUACUCUUCGAAUAAGCCACGGCUAACUACGUGCCAGCAGCCGCGGUAAUACGUAGGUGGCAAGCGUUACUCGGAAUCACUAGGCGUAAAGCGCAGGUAGGAGGUUUGAUAAGUCUGUUGUGAAAGCUCCCGGCUUAACUGGGAGAGGCCAACGGAAACUAUCAGGCUGGAGUGCGGUAGAGGUAGCUGGAAUUCCCGGUGUAGCGGUGAAAUGCGUAGAUAUCGGGAGGAAUACCUAUGGCGAAAGCAGGCUACUGGACCGUCACUGACUCUGAUCUGCGAAAGCUAGGGGAGCAAACAGGAUUAGAUACCCUAGUAGUCC